rnacentral:rRNA from 1 species
GAUGAACGCUGGCGGCGUGCCUAAUACAUGCAAGCCGAGCGAACGGACGAGAAGCUUGCUUCUCUGAUGUUAGCGGCGGACGGGUGAGUAACACGUGGAUAACCUACCUAUAAGACUGGGAUAACCUCGGGAAACCGGAGCUAAUACCGGAUAAUAUUUUGAACCGCAUGGUUCAAAAGUGAAAGACGGUCUUGCUGUCACUUAUAGAUGGAUCCGCGCUGCAUUAGCUAGUUGGUAAGGUAACGGCUUACCAAGGCAACGAUGCAUAGCCGACCUGAGAGGGUGAUCGGCCACACUGGAACUGAGACACGGUCCAGACUCCUACGGGAGGCAGCAGUAGGGAAUCUUCCGCAAUGGGCGAAAGCCUGACGGAGCAACGCCGCGUGAGUGAUGAAGGUCUUCGGAUCGUAAAACUCUGUUAUUAGGGAAGAACAUAUGUGUAAGUAACUGUGCACAUCUUGACGGUACCUAAUCAGAAAGCCACGGCUAACUACGUGCCAGCAGCCGCGGUAAUACGUAGGUGGCAAGCGUUAUCCGGAAUUAUUGGGCGUAAAGCGCGCGUAGGCGGUUUUUUAAGUCUGAUGUGAAAGCCCACGGCUCAACCGUGGAGGGUCAUUGGAAACUGGAAAACUUGAGUGCAGAAGAGGAAAGUGGAAUUCCAUGUGUAGCGGUGAAAUGCGCAGAGAUAUGGAGGAACACCAGUGGCGAAGGCGACUUUCUGGUCUGUAACUGACGCUGAUGUGCGAAAGCGUGGGGAUCAAACAGGAUUAGAUACCCUGGUAGUCCACGCCGUAAACGAUGAGUGCUAAGUGUUAGGGGGUUUCCGCCCCUUAGUGCUGCAGCUAACGCAUUAAGCACUCCGCCUGGGGAGUACGACCGCAAGGUUGAAACUCAAAGGAAUUGACGGGGACCCGCACAAGCGGUGGAGCAUGUGGUUUAAUUCGAAGCAACGCGAAGAACCUUACCAAAUCUUGACAUCCUUUGACAACUCUAGAGAUAGAGCCUUCCCCUUCGGGGGACAAAGUGACAGGUGGUGCAUGGUUGUCGUCAGCUCGUGUCGUGAGAUGUUGGGUUAAGCCCCGCAACGAGCGCAACCCUUAAGCUUAGUUGCCAUCAUUAAGUUGGGCACUCUAAGUUGACUGCCGGUGACAAACCGGAGGAAGGUGGGGAUGACGUCAAAUCAUCAUGCCCCUUAUGAUUUGGGCUACACACGUGCUACAAUGGACAAUACAAAGGGCAGCGAAACCGCGAGGUCAAGCAAAUCCCAUAAAGUUGUUCUCAGUUCGGAUUGUAGUCUGCAACUCGACUACAUGAAGCUGGAAUCGCUAGUAAUCGUAGAUCAGCAUGCUACGGUGAAUACGUUCCCGGGUCU